rnacentral:rRNA from 1 species
GACGAACGCUGGCGGCGUGCCUAAUACAUGCAAGUCGAACGGUCUUUUCUAUGGAAGCUUGCUUCCGCUGAGAAGAUAGUGGCGAACGGGUGAGUAACACGUGGGUAACCCGCCCAUAAGAGGGGGAUAACAUCCGGAAACGGGUGCUAAUACCGCAUAGUUUUCUUGAUCGCAUGAUUGAGAAAGGAAAGACGGCCUUGGUGCUGUCGCUUAUGGAUGGACCCGCGGCGUAUUAGUUAGUUGGUGAGGUAACGGCUCACCAAGACGAUGAUACGUAGCCGACCUGAGAGGGUGAUCGGCCACAUUGGGACUGAGACACGGCCCAAACUCCUACGGGAGGCAGCAGUAGGGAAUCUUCCGCAAUGGACGAAAGUCUGACGGAGCAACGCCGCGUGAGUGAAGAAGGUUUUCGGAUCGUAAAACUCUGUUGUCAGAGAAGAACAAGUCGGAGAGUAACUGCUCCGGCCUUGACGGUAUCUGACCAGAAAGCCACGGCUAACUACGUGCCAGCAGCCGCCGUAACAC